rnacentral:rRNA from 1 species
GACGAACGCUGGCGGCGUGCUUAACACAUGCAAGUCGAGCGGAAAGGCCCUUUCGGGGGUACUCGAGCGGCGAACGGGUGAGUAACACGUGAGUAAUCUGCCCUUGGCUUUGGGAUAGCUUCGGGAAACCGAAAUUAAUACCGGAUAUGACCACUCCAGGCAUCUGGUGGUGGUGGAAAGUUUUUUCGGCCAGGGAUGUGCUCGCGGCCUAUCAGCUUGUUGGUGGGGUAAUGGCCUACCAAGGCUUCGACGGGUAGCCGGCCUGAGAGGGUGACCGGCCACACUGGGACUGAGACACGGCCCAGACUCCUACGGGAGGCAGCAGUGGGGAAUAUUGGGCAAUGGGCGGAAGCCUGAUCCAGCAACGCCGCGUGAGGGAUGACGGCCUUCGGGUUGUAAACCUCUUUCACCACCGACGAAGCGCAAGUGACGGUAGGUGGGGAAGAAGCACCGGCCAACUACGUGCCAGCAGCCGCCGUAAGAC